GAUGAACGCUGGCGGCGUGCCUAAUACAUGCAAGUCGAGCGAACAGACGAGGAGCUUGCUCCUCUGACGUUAGCGGCGGACGGGUGAGUAACACGUGGAUAACCUACCUAUAAGACUGGGAUAACUUCGGGAAACCGGAGCUAAUACCGGAUAAUAUAUUGAACCGCAUGGUUCAAUAGUGAAAGACGGUUUUGCUGUCACUUAUAGAUGGAUCCGCGCCGCAUUAGCUAGUUGGUAAGGUAACGGCUUACCAAGGCAACGAUGCGUAGCCGACCUGAGAGGGUGAUCGGCCACACUGGAAGUGAGACACGGUCCAGACUCCUACGGGAGGCAGCAGUAGGGAAUCUUCCGCAAUGGGCGAAAGCCUGACGGAGCAACGCCGCGUGAGUGAUGAAGGUCUUCGGAUCGUAAAACUCUGUUAUUAGGAAAGAACAAAUGUGUAAGUAACUAUGCACGUCUUGACGGUACCUAAUCAGGAAGCCACGGCUAACUACGUG
rnacentral:rRNA from 1 species